UACGGGGGGGGCAAGCGUUGUUCGGAAUUACUGGGCGUAAAGGGCUCGUAGGCGGCCAACUAAGUCAGACGUGAAAUCCCUCGGCUUAACCGGGGAACUGCGUCUGAUACUGGAUGGCUUGAGUUUGGGAGAGGGAUGCGGAAUUCCAGGUGUAGCGGUGAAAUGCGUAGAUAUCAGGAGGAACACCUGUGGUGUAGACAGCUUACUGGACCACUUCUGACGCUGAGACACGAAAGCGUGGGUAGCAAACAGG
rnacentral:rRNA from 1 species